rnacentral:tRNA from 2 species
UCCCCUGUAGCUCAGUUGGUAGAGCAAGCGGCUGUUAACCGCUGGGUCGUAGGUUCGAGUCCUACCGGGGGAG